rnacentral:lncRNA from 1 species
UGGUCACUCUCUUGGGCUUGAAAUGGAACAGAUCUUCUUGUUCCAUCUCUUUCUGAUAGCGCCAGUUCCUGCUGAGGACAGAACAUUGUCUUCUUUUCUCCCUGCCUCAGGCAGAUGGCAGGGAGUGUUGUGUGUCCCCACAAAGGAGCGUGCUGUCCCCGCUCCCAAGUCUCUCAGCGAGCCCUGUCAUGGAAGGCAUCCAGGAGAAUGUGGAACUCCACACCCGCUUUCUCAGAACACAGGAGCAUCCACGACCCUCAGAAUCACAGCAUUGAGAGGUAUGUAUCAACUCCAGGUCUCUGCAUUUGUCCACGUUCUUCACUGUCAUGUGGCUCCUCCCGAUGUGAUAGCAAAGAUGCCCGUGGACAGCACCAGGCUUGGGUCCAUCAUGUUGGCAAUCUGGAGGAAGCCAAGCACUUUUUCUCCAACUGAUUCAGUCCCAGGACUGGCUCUCAUUUGCCCAGCUUGUGCAAUGCUCAAUGUUACAGCUUCAAACAUAGAAGAUACAAGAAGUAAAUGCUGAGAUUUCGCUAUUUGUUAACCUAUCAUGUGAUGAACCUAUAAAAAUUGUGUGAAGCAAAUGUUUUCAGGCAUUGGACGUCA